GAUCACUAUAAAAGAGCUAUGGAGUCGUGGGUAUUCCAAUAAGACAAUGGGAGCUAUUGUCGAGGAAGGGUGAAAAUCCCUUAGGGUGUUCUUGGGUCGUGCCGAAGCAGUUGCUGAAGUACUGACGAUGGAGAGACAAGUUUGGGUAAAUUAGGAAUUGUUCAGUGGCGUGUGUUAGGGUGUAACACUAGACGUGUAAAGCUGAUUAAGCAUAGCUUGUAAUAGGGUUUACAAGGCGAUUUCUAAUAAAGCAAUUGGUGUUUGCUUGUAUCUGUUUUGUCUCUUGGUUUACCUUCUGCAUUACUUAAUUGUGGUGUCAUCUUUGCACUUACAAUUGGUAUCAGAGCGGGUCACCUAAGUUACUGGUGUGGUCCUGAAGGUGAAGAUGUACACGAUUGUUUGAUGCGGAAGACAAUCAUGUUGGAUGAUGGCUGGUGGUAUGGUCAUUGGAGGGCGCACAUGAAGCUGUUGGUUUGAGGAAUCAAAGAGCGUGCGUGGAUAGCUGUGAAGACUGGGUGGGAGGAGCCUACCAUAUUUACAGCAGAGGGGAAGAAACCGAAGCCUAAGGAGCCAAGACAAGGAGUGGUUCGAGAGGUAGUUCGAGAAGUAGUACGACGGAUGCGUCAUAGCCUGAUGCAGUACUCAUGAAGAAGCAGACAGGUGUGUCUGUGAUGUUUGUAUUGACAUCUAAGCAUCUAUGUUUUAGCUUAGUAUGCAAUCAAGCAGGGGGAGAAGUGGUGACGUUCUGGUCCAAGGAGUGCAUAUCUCGUGGGGGAGAAGAGCAUGGUGAUGGACGUCCUGAUGUAGAUGGUGCAUAUCUCAUGGGGGAGAAUAGCAUAUCUAUGAAUGAAGAUGAAGAUAGUGCAAGUCUCGUGGGGGAGAAAGGCAUAUCUAAUGUGGAGGUUUCCAGGUGAGGAAACAUGGUUGUUGAACCAGAAGGGUAUUGUGCUUGAUUGGCACACAAAACUAAAAGGGAGAGAUUGAAGAUGCAAGAAGAGCUUGCAGAUGUCAAUAGUCUUCCGUGACUAACUAGGCGACGAAGUCACUGAUGCCGGAGGCAUUAGUCGUUACUACAUAAGGCAUGCGGAGUGGUGGGUUACCAUGUGGAUGCAAGGAUAUGCUGAGAUGGAGAAGAAUAAACUGAGGGUUUAUGUCUUGACAUAGUCGUUGAAGUAGUUGCUGAUGCAGUGCGUGUCAGAGAGUGAACCAUGAGGCAUGCGGAGUGGUGGAGACCAUGUGGAUGCGAGAUGCUGAGUUGGCGUGGGAUAAACUUGAGGAGCAAGUUUAUACCGUGGAGAAUAGACAAGAGAUAAACUUGGGGAGCAAGUUUAUGCCUUGAAGAAUAAAUACAUUCCAAGAAAAGGAAAGUGUACUUAUUAAUAUGGAAGUUGUCCAUAUAUCCAUGUUGCCUUGGAGACUAGGUUUCAGGAACGUGGAGAUCACUAUAAAAGAGCUAUGGAGUCGUGGGUAUUCCAAUAAGACACUGAGAGCUAUUGUUAUAGAGGAAGGGUGAAAAUCCCUUAGGGUGUUCUUGAGUCGUGCCGAAGCAGUUGCUGAAGUACUGACGAUGGAGAGACAAGUUUGGAUUCAGCUGAGUUUCUUUGAUCCCGGAGCCUCGUCCUCGUCUUCAAUGGUUUCAUGUUUAGAUAGGAGUGUUACUCUAAUUUCCAGACGGAAUCUGACUGUUCUCGCAACAAUCUCUGUUGCCUCAAGUUCUCCACCUAGAAAAAGAAGGUGCGAGAGAAUCUGAGAUAGAUUGGCCGUCAGGAUUAUUAUUUCCCUCACCAGUAGAUCCGAUUAACUUUGAUCGGAUUCCUUAUCCCUCCGUCUGUGUCCUGAUUUUUGGAGUUGAAAAUCACACAUGUCGAUUGUUCGUGGUUUGGCUAUUGCAUGGUUAUCGGGUAAUUUCAGUUGAUAUUCCACGGGUUCGGAGUUAUCAUGAGUGGAUUCAAGCAUUUGAGAAAUUCCUUGACACCAUUGAUGUUCAUCAUGUGCAUCGGUACUUCCCUUGGAGGCUUCUUAGCGCAACUCUUUGCUCAUCACCGACCAAGAAGAGUUAAAUCAUUGGUUCUAUCAAAUACAUAUUUGGACACUCGCAGUUUUGCUGCUGCAAUGCCAUGGGCUCCUUUUGUAAGUUGGACUCCUUCCUUUUUGCUGUAACUAUAGGUCUUAACAGGAAUACGUGACGGACCUCACGAACCAUUUAUCGCUGACUCUGUCGAUUUUGCUGUCUCUCAGGUGGUUCUCCUCAUAAUCUUCUCUUUAGUAUUAUUUAAUAUCCCCUGUAUAUUAAAGGAGAAGCAUUUUUAAGGCUUUCCUUAAACGAUUUUGGUGAGAAUGCAUGAGAAGGCUCGGAUCCACGUGUCACUCUGUGAGGGAGUUUAAGAAAAACGGAUCAUUUAAUUCUUUGCUUUGUUUCCUUAUUUGGUUCCAUAAGAAGAAACGUAACCAAUUUUUUUUUUCAUUCAUGCGAAACACUUUGAAGCAUUACCUCUCGACGAUUCAAGGAUCCGAGUCAUUGUUCUCUCCCUGAGAGUCUUGCCGUCUUCUGUCGCGUCGUCUUGACUUCGAGAUCGAUGAGGCAGCCCUUAGCGUAGACGAGGAUGACAACAGUUAGGGAGAACAUACAACUGGCUUAAACUUCAGUUGCGAAGGCGAAAUCGGAUGAGUUUGCCGUUUGUAAACAGGGAGAGCUAAGGGACGAGCAAACAAGUUGAGCUAAGGGAGAGAUAAGGGACGAGCAAACAUCAAUCCCGAGUAUAUUAUAUAAGUUGCGUUAAGGGACGAGCAAAGUUGUUUUUUUUGCAGCCAUAACACGUUUACGUGAUACCUUAAUCAUCCUAAAGAUCAUGAAAGAACAUCUGAUUCUCACCAUGUUGACCUAAUACAAAAGCCUUAAACCCCUAAGACGCACACGAGCUCUCAAACGAAACCCCAAACAGUAGAAGCUCCCAGAAGGCAGCCCGAAAUCCGAUUUUGAAAUACGUGAG